rnacentral:tRNA from 1 species
GGCCUAGUAGCUCAGCUGGAUAGAGCAUCCGCCUCCUAAGCGGAAGGUCGUGCGUUCGAAUCGCGUCUAGGUCA